CAAAAAAACAAAAAUAACGUCUUUUUUCUAAUUCUAUUUUCAAAGUUUAUAUAAAAUUCAAAAUAUAUUUCAUGAAAUGCAAUAAAAAGUGAGGGUUAUUUUUUCUAACAAAAAACAACACAUAACGCUCACCAAUCCAGAACGAAGAAAAUUAAUGAUUGUGAUAACAUACAUAUAGUAAACGACAAAGUCACCUAAAUUCAUAUAUGAAAAUAAAAAGUAUACCAUGACGAUGAUGAUGAAUAUUGGCAUCCAAGUUGCGAACCAAAUAAUUAUAAUAAUAAUAAUAAUAAAGACAAAAAAUGAGAAGAGAAAACUGAAUUCGAGCCAAGAAUCUUUGCACAGUAUAACUGUAUACAGCUUUGAAAAUGAACUAAUUCGAACUGAAUACAACGAAAGCAAUGUUACAACGCCAGAAAUAUACGAUUCUUAUGAUUACCACCAUCUUGUGAUCUUUACGAAUUUUCAAACAUUACCGGUACACUUUGUGUGUUUGUCGAUGACGACAAUCAUAAUAGGAAUUUUGUUCAAUUUUCCUUGAUAACAGCUUUACAUUCAUUGAGUAAUAAUUUUUUUUAUUCAAUGUUUUGAUUGCUACUUUUCAUUUCAUGGCGACAUCAAUUCAAAGUCAAUUAUAGAAUGAGAAAAAACCUACUUUGUUCAAUG